rnacentral:rRNA from 1 species
CCUACGGGAGGCAGCAGUGGGGAAUAUUGGACAAUGGGGGCAACCCUGAUCCAGCCAUGCCGCGUGUGUGAAGAAGGCCUUCGGGUUGUAAAGCACUUUCAGUGAGGAGGAAAGCCUUGAGGUUAAUACCCUCGAGGGAGGACAUCACUCACAGAAGAAGCACCGGCUAACUCCGUGCCAGCAGCCGCGGUAAUACGGAGGGUGCGAGCGUUAAUCGGAAUUACUGGGCGUAAAGCGCGCGUAGGCGGCUUGAUAAGCCGGUUGUGAAAGCCCCGGGCUCAACCUGGGAACGGCAUCCGGAACUGUCAGGCUAGAGUGCAGGAGAGGAAGGUAGAAUUCCCGGUGUAGCGGUGAAAUGCGUAGAGAUCGGGAGGAAUACCAGUGGCGAAGGCGGCCUUCUGGACUGACACUGACGCUGAGGUGCGAAAGCGUGGGUAGCAAACAGGAUUAGAUACCCUGGUAGUCCACGCCGUAAACGAUGUCGACUAGCCGUUGGGCUCCUUGAGAGCUUUGUGGCGCAGUUAACGCGAUAAGUCGACCGCCUGGGGAGUACGGCCGCAAGGUUAAAACUCAAAUGAAUUGACGGA